UACGUAGGGUGCAAGCGUUGUCCGGAAUUAUUGGGCGUAAAGAGCUCGUAGGCGGUCUGUUGCGUCGGCUGUGAAAACCCGGGCUCAACUCCGGGCCUGCAGCCGAUACGGGCAGACUAGAGUUCGGCAGGGGAGACUGGAAGUUCCUGGUGUAGCGGUGAAAUGCGCAGAUAUCAGGAGGAACACCGGUGGCGAAGGCGGGUCUCUGGGCCGAUACUGACGCUGAGGAGCGAAAGCGUGGGGAGCGAACAGG
rnacentral:rRNA from 1 species